rnacentral:lncRNA from 1 species
AUUCUGAUGUGUUUUAAGGUGGGAUCUCAGAAUCGUUUUGAUCUGUAUUGUCGUGAUGUUUAAGGACACUGAUGAACGUUUCUCUAAGUGCUUGUCUGCCACUAGAGGUUGCUGUUGAGAGUUCUGUUUAGCUCUGCUCCACAUGGGUUACCUGGUUUUUGUUGUUAUUUUUAUUCUUAUUUUGUUAUGUCGUUAUUUUGUUUGGUUUUUUGACUUUUAAGAGUCUUUUGUGGAAUGAAAGCUUUCAGUUUUUGUGGAUCGUGUAUUUGUAUUUGAAGUCAUGCUGAAGAAUUACACCAAGUUGUAGGUCCCUAUGGUUUUUCCCGUUUAUAGAUCGGUGGUCUGCAUUUAAAUACAUGAUCUAUCUGGAGGCUGGAGAGAUGGUUCAGAGGCUGGGAACACUCCCUGCUCUUCCAGAGGACUGGAAUUUAAUGCCCUGCACUUACUUUGAGUGGCUUAACAGCUCUGCAUCCAGCUCCAGGGAUGAUUCUCCUGGCUACAGGUAUAUGGCUUUACCUCCCACCCUAGCCCCACCCCCACCCCCAAUGUAGAUGUAUUUUGAGUUUCUUGUAUAAAGGUUGAAGAUCAGGUAAGGGGUCCCUUGAUGAGGUUUCUUUUAAUUGCCUAUGAUUUUAUGCCACAUUUUCUAUAGUAUUAUUGUUGAAAGGUUAUCCUUCUCCAGUAGGCUGCUUAUUUGUUUUCAAUACUGUUGUCUGCUUUUGUGUCAGGCUUAAUCUGUUUGCUUACUAUAUCUUUUCCUCUGCCAAUCCCAGACAGUCUUGAUUUACUACAGUAACAUAAUCUUGAAAUCAAGUUGGAGUGACUUCUGUCACUUAUUCUUUUCUUCAAAAUUGAAUUUAGCUAUCCUAUGCCUUUCCAUUUGGAAUCCUGUGUAUAUCUAAAAAUACAUCUUAAUUGGCAUUUUGAUUGGGUUGUAUUAAAUUUGCAUACUACUCAGCUUUUUUUCUUUUACAUAGUUUUAUAAAAAAACUUUGAAAACAUGGGGCUGGAAAGAUGGCUCAGUGGUUACUAGCACUUGCUCAACUCUCACAGGACCCAGGCCAGGGUCUCAACAUCCACAUGGUGAAUCUGUAACUUUAAUCCCAGGGGAUCUGGCACCGUCUUCUGGCAGCCAUAGGCACUGCACACAUAUGGUACACAUAUUACAUACAUGCAAGCAAAAUAUCCAUAUAAAAAUAAAUUUGGAAAAUAAUAAACUUUUAAUAUAGAAGGCUUGUUCAUAUUUUACUAAUUAUAACUAAUUAUUUGUUUUUUGAGAGAUUGUUAAUAGUAGAUUUUUUUAUUCCUUUCUUUGUAGUCUUUUAAAAAUUAUUACUUGGGUGUGUAUAUAGUCACUGGAAUAGUACUUAAUAGACAGCACACAGGGAUGCGGUGAAGGUGGAAUUAAUAUGUAAAGUACUCAAUACAGUGCUUUGAACAGAGUAAAGUCCUUGGUAACUACCAAAUUAGCAGUUGAAAGGGUUGCGCUCCCCUCCCCCGUUUGUUCCCACGAUGAACCCUGAGGCUAAGUUGUUCAGUUUAUCCAUUUGCCCCAAGGCAGCUCUUCAUCCAGGGCAGUCCUCUAGUCUGCCAGUGUUGACUCUCCCUAAAAUUUCUCUGGGGAGUUUGCUCAGAGUCUCCUUCCCAGUGCAUAGCACUAUAGUCAAGGGUGAGAGCCCGAAGAGUCAGACUUUUAGUCCUGCGUAACUGAGGGCAAUUUGCUUCACAUUCUCCUUUAUUUCCUGAUUUUUCCCUUUUGACUUUCUUUUCUUGCCUACCUCACCUACCCUCCCCCCCCC